rnacentral:tRNA from 1 species
GGAGAGGUGCGAGAGUGGUUGAAUCGGUCGGUCUCGAAAACCGGUGUAGCGGUAACGCUACCGUGGGUUCGAAUCCCACCCUCUCCG